GCUUACGGCCAUACCACUCUGAGGGUGCCCGAUCUCGUCGGAUCUCGGAAGCCAAGCAGAGUCGGGCCCGGUGAGUACUUGGAUGGGAGACCGCCUGGGAACACCGGGUGCUGUAAGCU